CACUGCAUUAAAAUGAAGAAAAUUUGUGAGUCUUACAUCACUGAACAUGUAUACAUGGAAUUUAAUAAAAAAUAUAUCAAUACAAUAUAAUAAGACAAUUAAAUAAACUAGAGCUACCGGUACCUUAGAACUAUGUGAGAGCAAUUGCAAAGGAAUACAAUUACAACUGCUGUGCUGAGUGGUUAUAUUACUACCUGAAAAAAAAACAAGCAGAAACUCAACAUUUCGAGCGAAGGGUCUUUGCUCAAAACGUUGAGUUUCUGGGGUUUUUUUUCAGGUAGUAAUAUAACCACUCAGCACAGCAAUUUCACAUUGGUACUAUCCACACUGGUACUGGUACAGACAGUUUUAAUACAAUUACAAGCCUGCCAGCAUGAAUUGAACCUGCAGCCCUGCAAUUCUACUGCAGCCCUCUGACUUAAAGAGUCCUUUUGCCAAGAUGUAACCAUAACUUUCUGUAUAAUUAUACUAUGAUGGUGGUGUCACUGGUAGUAUAUUAAAUAAACUGGGAUGACACUAGUAUUGUAUAAAUGAACUCUUGGUUAGCUUGAUGGAUUCUUGGCGCUUGGACUCUCAGGGCUUGAUGGACUCUCGGCUGUUAAGGAACUGUUCAGAAUCACAGGGCAACAGGUUCCAUUCCCGGCACAGUACUUAUUACAUAGUUAUUGUUCAAAAUUUCCAUCUACAGAAAUUUGGCUUAAAUUAACCCAUUGAGUGGCAGCACUCUCUCCUUUAUGAGUAAAAUUGUCUGGCAUUAGACAGAAAAAAUAAUAAGGUAGAGCGCAUUGCCCCAUAAAAGGUUAACAUUCUCUUCAAUGUAGA